GAUGAACGCUGGCGGCGUGCCUAAUACAUGCAAGUCGAGCGAACGGACGAGAAGCUUGCUUCUCUGAUGUAGCGGCGGGCGGGUGAGUAACACGUGGAUAACCUACCUAUAAGACUUGGAUAACUUCGGGAAACCGUAGCUAAUAACGGAUAAUUUUUUGAACCGCCUGGUUCAAAAGUGAAAGACGGUCUUGCUGUCACUUAUAGAUGGAUCCGCGCUGCAUUAGCUAGUUGGUAAGGUAAAGGCUUACCAAGGCAACGAUGAAUAGCCGACCUGAGAGGUGAUCGGCCACACUGGAACUGAGACACGGUCCAGACUCCUACGGGAGGCAGCAGUAGGGAAUCUUCCGCAAUGGGCGAAAGCCUGACGGAGCAACGCCGCGUGAGUGAUGAAGGUCUUCGGAUCGUAAAACUCUGUUAUUAGGGAAGAACAUAUGUGUAAGUAACUGUGCACAUCUUGACGGUACCUAAUCAGAAAGCCACGGCUAACUACGUG
rnacentral:rRNA from 1 species